rnacentral:rRNA from 6 species
UGAGUAACGCGUGGGAAUCUACCCAUCUCUACGGAACAACUCCGGGAAACUGGAGCUAAUACCGUAUACGUCCUUUUGGAGAAAGAUUUAUCGGAGAUGGAUGAGCCCGCGUUGGAUUAGCUAGUUGGUGGGGUAAUGGCCUACCAAGGCGACGAUCCAUAGCUGGUCUGAGAGGAUGAUCAGCCACACUGGGACUGAGACACGGCCCAGACUCCUACGGGAGGCAGCAGUGGGGAAUAUUGGACAAUGGGCGCAAGCCUGAUCCAGCCAUGCCGCGUGAGUGAUGAAGGCCCUAGGGUUGUAAAGCUCUUUCAACGGUGAAGAUAAUGACGGUAACCGUAGAAGAAGCCCCGGCUAACUUCGUGCCAGCAGCCGCGGUAAUACGAAGGGGGCUAGCGUUGUUCGGAAUUACUGGGCGUAAAGCGCACGUAGGCGGAUACUUAAGUCAGGGGUGAAAUCCCGGGGCUCAACCCCGGAACUGCCUUUGAUACUGGGUAUCUCGAGUCCGGAAGAGGUGAGUGGAAUUCCGAGUGUAGAGGUGAAAUUCGUAGAUAUUCGGAGGAACACCAGUGGCGAA